GAUCUCUUAUAAAUUAAGACCUCCCGUAGCCUUUAAGGAGAAGGGGGAUAGGGAAGCAGCUUCCCGUCUAAUAUGAUAAGUCCGGGGAAGGUUUUCCGGUUUAUCCCGGAGGGCUUGUAGCUCAGUUGGUUAGAGCGCGCGCUUGAUAAGCGUGAGGUCGGAGGUUCAAGUCCUCCCAGGCCCACCAGUUUAUGUAUCAAUUUAUAAGCGCUUACGAAUUUUCUUAUAUGAGGUUUUCUCGUAGAAUUAUAAGGAAGUGACUUCAUUAAAGAAGCUUGCUUGUAAAAAAUGUUGCGCUUCUCACUUUUGCUUAAGUGAUCCAAAGUUAAAGCUAUUCAAAGAUAAAGUGAUCCCAAUUUAAAGGUGAUCCUAAGUUUAAAAUUUUUGAUCCUUUUUCUUUUUUUGGGGCCGUAGCUCAGCUGGGAGAGCACCUGCUUUGCAAGCAGGGGGUCGUCGG
rnacentral:misc_RNA from 1 species